rnacentral:rRNA from 1 species
AGGACGAACGCUGGCGGCGUGCUUAACACAUGCAAGUCGAACGGUGAACCAGGGCUUGCCCUGGGGAUCAGUGGCGAACGGGUGAGUAACACGUGGGCAACCUGCCCCUGACUCUGGGAUAACUCCUCGAAAGAGGUGCUAAUACCGGAUACGACCACUUCGGGCAUCCGAUGGUGGUGGAAAGAAUUUUGGUCAGGGAUGGGCCCGCGGCCUAUCAGCUUGUUGGUGGGGUAACGGGCCCACCAAGGCGACGACGGGUAGCCGGCCUGAGAGGGCGACCGGCCACACUGGGACUGAGACACGGCCCAGACUCCUACGGGAGGCAGCAGUGGGGAAUAUUGCGCAAUGGGCGAAAGCCUGACGCAGCGACGCCGCGUGAGGGACGACGGCCUUCGGGUUGUAAACCUCUUUCAGCAGGGACGAAGCGAAAGUGACGGUACCUGCAGAAGAAGCACCGGCUAACUACGUG